UAGUUUUCUUCUAAGUCAAACUAUCUUAGGUUUGACCAAAUUUAUAGAUAAUUGUAUUAAUAUCUAUAACACCAAAUAGGUAUAUUAUGAAAAUAUAUUUCAUGAUGAAUCCAAUGAUACUUAUUUGGUGUCAUAAAUGCUGAUAUUUUUCUCUAUAAAUUUGGUCAAACUUGAGAUAGUUUGACUUAGGACAAAACUAG
rfam:Dichanthelium oligosanthes cultivar Kellogg 1175 unplaced genomic scaffold Do_version_2_scaffold103, whole genome shotgun sequence.